UUAAUUGCUGAAUAUAUGUCAUAUAAGACGGGGAAGAUGCACAGUGUGUAGAACUGAUCUCUGAUUAUUGACUAACUGGGUUCUAUAUUAGAAUAUCCUUAAAUUAAGUAGAAUAUGUUAAUUGUGGUUACUAUUCAUGGAAACUUGUGAGAAAUAUACGUGUUGUCAGUAGUCAAUUAAAUCUGCCAGUACUUGCACAGUGCGUUAGUAUUCCUAUAAAAUGGUCAGUAAUAAUGAUAAGGUGAGUAUUUAAGUUAAUCGGUAAGUAUUCCUCACUUAUGUGAGUAUGUAAAAAUAAUGGAGUAAUUAAACAUACGUGAGUUAAUCCGAACAUAUCGCUAGUCAGGCAUGUGUGGGAGAAACUGCCAAACCCGCGACUAAUGAAGAAAGCGUCACUAUUGAGGCUACUGUUCACUAUCUAUAUGAAACUGCCAGUUAUCUUUGAUCUGCGUUUGUAACUGGAACCAACGUCAGUAGAGCGUGAAAUCACUAACUAUAUAAAUUUCGGGUGAGUUUUUAAUAAGUGAUUAGUAUCGGUUAACCCUGUCAACUCAUCCCUUCUUAAAACUAAUAAGAUCGAUUUCCGGCGAUCGAUAAAUUCAUCACGUCAUAUCCGAAAAAGUAUUCAUAGUGAAGGAAUAUAAUUUAUAUCAUUCGAAAGCCACAAAAAUUCCCUUUGAAAUUAGACUAACGAGUGACUAUUCAACAUAGAAGUAGUCUGGAAUCUAGCAAAGAUGGAUAACUCUCUGAGCGUAAACAAAUGACGUUGUGUUAUUUAUAUAUAGCAGAAGUCCUAUUAUUUUGUGUACUUAUAGCCGUAAAAAUUUAGUUUAUUGUGUCUGAAAGAGAAAGUAUUAAACUAAGAAUAUAAGUGUUGUUAAGUUUUACAUUGAUUAGACACGUCUGAUCUUGAAUAUGUGAGCGAUGCCGAUGAAGUUCAAAGAGCAAAGAGGUGACCUAGAUUCGGCCGACAAAGAAUUUGUCAACAAGAGAAUCGAUCCCGAUUAGAUGAGCCUUCAACCUCAGCUGAAGAUACUACACGAUAAUGAUAGUUUUAGGCCUAAUGGUACUGAUACAAGCACUGAUUUGGAUGAGUUACUCAUUUUACUGAAUAUUAGCACAGAAGAAUGAAAGCAUGAACAGUGUAUAGACACAGAGCCCAAUAUACCAAAGUUUACUCCGAGACCUGGAGGGAACUGGAGUUUUGUGAGUUGGCAGUUGGCACAAUGGAACUUGAUCUGUU